rnacentral:rRNA from 2 species
UGGGGAAUAUUGCACAAUGGAGGGAACUCUGAUGCAGCGACGCCGCGUGAACGAAGAAGGCUUUUGAGUCGUAAAGUUCUUUUAUAUGGGAAGAUAAUGACGGUACCAUAAGAAAAAGCCCCGGCUAACUACGUGCCAGCAGCCGCGGUAAUACGUAGGGGGCUAGCGUUGUCCGGAAUCACUGGGCGUAAAGGGUUCGCAGGCGGAAAUGCAAGUCAGGUGUAAAAGGCAGUAGCUUAACUACUGUAAGCAUUUGAAACUGCAUAUCUUGAGAAGAGUAGAGGUAAGUGGAAUUUUUAGUGUAGCGGUGAAAUGCGUAGAUAUUAAAAAGAAUACCGGUGGCGAAGGCGACUUACUGGGCUCAUUCUGACGCUGAGGAACGAAAGCGUGGGUAGCAAACAGG